rnacentral:lncRNA from 1 species
CCCCCCUCCCCUUCAUGCAUUCAUUAAUUUCUUAAUAAACUCAUAUAUGAGCUAGAAUACUAUCAGUAGCAAAUAGACUCCGUUGCUACUAAUUUGUUUUCAAUAAUAUAGCUCCUGAAUUGACGAUCGACAUUGUUGGACAUAAUCUAGCUAGAACACUAAAAAUAUUUAGAAAUUAAAUUAUAUAUUUUUUCGAUAUUAUAAUCUUGUGCAUCAAGUGAACAUUGAACAACUAAAAAUAAGUAUAUAUCCUUUCAAAAAAUGAUGAUAGGAUUAUUAUAAUCAAGAUCAAAAGUAUAUAGAUCUUGUUUUAAAUGGAUUAUAU